rnacentral:rRNA from 1 species
AACGAACGCUGGCGGCAGGCUUAACACAUGCAAGUCGAACGCUCCGCAAGGAGAGUGGCAGACGGGUGAGUAACACGUGGGAACGUACCCUUUACUACGGAACAACUCCGGGAAACUGGAGCUAAUACCGUAUGUGCCCUUUGGGGGAAAGAUUUAUCGGUAAAGGAUCGGCCCGCGUUGGAUUAGCUAGUUGGUGGGGUAAAGGCCUACCAAGGCGACGAUCCAUAGCUGGUCUGAGAGGAUGAUCAGCCACAUUGGGACUGCGACACGGCCCAAACUCCUACGGGAGGCAGCAGUGGGGAAUACUGGACAAUGGGCGCAAGCCUGAUCCAGCCAUGCCGCGUGUGUGAUGAAGGCCUUAGGGUUGUAAAGCACUUUCACCGGAGAAGAUAAUGACGGUAUCCGGAGAAGAAGCCCCGGCUAACUUCGUGCCAGCCGCCGCCGUAACAC